GACUGAAGAGCGAAGAGUGGGCACCUGGCAGAGAGACGCAGAGGCUCCGAGGCAGAAGUGUGGAACACACUCCAGGCCCCGGCCUGUUGGGGCUUGGAGGUUGGCAGUCCAACGCCAAGAGGGCUGCACCUGUGUAGGUCUGCACCUGUGUCAUCCCAAGGUGGACGGAAGGACAAAGUGUGCACAUAUGUGCGCAUCGGGCGGAGGAAGGGACUGACUCAUCUCGCCCCUGGGAGCCUGUCCCACAGCAGCUCACCUCCUCCAGCGGCCGUUGAUGGAAUCAACACACUCACCAGGGCGGAGUCUGGUGACCUGAUCUCCCGGAACAGGUCCACAGCUUCACGCUCUCACGCCGCGGUCAGAGCAGGCCGUCACACCAAUUUGCCAGACAUCUUGAAGCUUCCAGCUUCCAUGUUCCCUCAUUUGUUUAAAAAAUGCACCAUGAAACUAGCUCUUUUCAUUUGCAUUAAAAAAAAAAUCAAAUCUUUGUUUCACGAAGGAUAAAGUUUGAUUAAAAGAAAAAGCCAUGCUACUUGUUUUCCCCAAGCGGUUGACAGAUCGUUCCUACAGAUGGCCUCAGAUGACACAGAUUUUUCUCCGCUGCUUUGAAAUGUCACCUUUAAAAUAACAAAUUUCAUUGGAUCUUCACAGAUUUUCUUUUAGGAAAUAAAAAAUAGCAGCACUGACACUCAUGUCCGUGCUGUGUGCCAGCCAC